AUAAAUGUUUAGUUUGCAAAAUUUAUAAAACUCUUUUAUGAUUCUGAAAUUUAUACUUCCAUUUUUUCUUGUCCUAUCUCUUUGAUCCAAAUGGCUUAUUAUGCAGAUCCAUGGUUAUCACCUCUGGCUACACAGUUUAGAAUCAUCAUGAAAGCUUUUGGAAAAUAGGAUGCCUUGGCCUGACUCAUGGCCAAUUAAGUCAGAGUCUCUGGUUCACCUCCCUGCAACCCUGAAAUCUUAUUUUUUGAACUCCCAGGUGAUUCCCAUGUGCUGUGAAGACUGGGAAAUUAGAGUAGACCAAGAUCUGGGCAUCACGAGGUCAUAUUAUAAGUUUUGUGGGCACUUACACAUUUGAAGUCAAAGAUGGUACAACCCUGGAAGCACUAUUAGAGAAUCCACCACAGAAUCUACCCCCAAAUAGAAGGUGUCAAUAUGUGUAUAGAAUAUGCAUAACGUGUAGCAGAGCAAGAGAGCUGAGACAAGAUCUUGACAGUGCAGGUCUGUUCAGUGAAGGAACCUUCCCUGAAGCCCCUCCAGCUGCGUUCUCCUUACGUCACUGAUUCCCAGCGCACUGCAUGGUCUUGUCUGACUCAGUCAGUGGCCAGAGCAACGGGAUUACCUGGUUGGCUUAAAUCACUCAGGACCGUCCUGAGAAUGGGCCCAGACUCCCCUGAAGCCCAAGAUCAGGAGGAGGUGCGUGGAUAUAAAUUGGGUUCUCUUGGGAAAGGGGAAGGGCAAGGCUGUU